rnacentral:sRNA from 1 species
AAAAUUGUUUAGAGAUUACUUCUUUGAAUGUAGAACACAAGAGGCAACACUCCAC